GACGAACGCUGGCGGCGCGCUUAACACAUGCAAGUCGAGCGAUGAAACUUUAACAGAACCCUUCGGGGCGAAGAUAAAGUGGAUUAGCGGCGGACGGGUGAGUAACACGUGAGUAACCUGCCUUAGACAUUGGGAUAGCCUCGGGAAACCGGGAUUAAUACCAAAUAAAAUCAUAAUUACACAUGUCAUAACGAUCAAAACUCCGGUGGUCUAAGAUGGACUCGCGUCCCAUUGGCUAGUUGGUAGAGUAAAAGCCUACCAAGGCGACGCUGGGUAGCCGGCCUGAGAGGGUGAACGGCCACAUUGGAACUGAGAACCGGUCCAAACUCCUACGGGAGGAAGCAGUGAGGAAUAUUGCACAAUGGAGGGAACCCUGAUGCAGCGACGCCGCGUGAACGAAGAAGGCUUUCGAGUCGUAAAGUUCUUUUAUAUGGGAAGAUAAUGACGGUACCAUAAGAAAAAGCCCCGGCUAACUACGUG
rnacentral:rRNA from 1 species